rnacentral:lncRNA from 1 species
UGUUAAUGAUGUUAGUGGUAGUCCAGAAGGGUGGGCUACAUAUCAUAUAAGUGUAUUGAGUGAUCAAUGGUGGACCACAAUGUAUUAUAAUAUUUGCAUGUGUUAGAGUGAAUCAUAACGAAGUUCGUAUCGAUAAAUUGUUGUGACAUGGUGAAUCAUUUGAAUUGUUUGUUCACUUGUGAUUGUGAUAAUUCAUAAAGGUGGAUUAUGUUGUGCAUGGUUG